UCGGGAAUUUUGGGCAAUGGGCGAAAGCCUGACCCAGCAACGCCGCGUGAAGGAUGAAGUAUUUCGGUAUGUAAACUUCGAAAGAAUAGGAAGAAUAAAUGACGGUACUAUUUAUAAGGUCCGGCUAACUACGUGCCAGCAGCCGCGGUAAUACGUAGGGACCAAGCGUUGUUCGGAUUUACUGGGCGUAAAGGGCGCGUAGGCGGCUUGACAAGUCACUUGUGAAAUCUCUGGGCUUAACCCAGAACGGCCAAGUGAAACUGUCAUGCUAGAGUGCAGAAGGGGCAAUCGGAAUUCUUGGUGUAGCGGUGAAAUGCGUAGAUAUCAAGAGGAACACCUGAGGUGAAGACGGGUUGCUGGGCUGACACUGACGCUGAGGCGCGAAAGCCAGGGGAGCAAACGGGAUUAGAUACCCGAGUAGUCCCUGAGCGGGCUGGCAAGGCGCAU
rnacentral:rRNA from 1 species